GGUCUAUUCUUUGACAUUUCUAGUGUUUCACCUUCCCUAGUUAUUAGCAUGUCAUGCGAUUAUGUGUAUGCCUUGAAGUCCUUCUAUUGCCUGUGUAGCAGUACGAUCUGCCCUCCCCUGAUGUCAUCUAGUAAAUUGAGGGCGUGUCUGGUUAGGGUUGUUUACCUGCCUAUAAAAUCGUUUCCGUUUGUGCUAUGCGUGUGCGUUCGUCCGGUGUAAGCGAGCGAGCCAUCGUACUUCCGGGCUCUUGUGUGCAUGGUGACGAGGUGGACUGAGGAGCUUUUCGGGAAGUCCUUUAACCGCGGUCCGUUAUUGAGACAGUCGUUUUGUACAGUUACAUCUGUGCUUCGUGAGUCGCAGUACAGGUGCAGGUCAAUGUGCAAGGGACGUCGCAGUGGGCUGCUGUAGUGAGCUUGUCGUUUGCUGUGUGGCUUUUCUGCACUGUGCAUCGUUUAAUAGUUUUGAUGUUUCGCCGACUAACUGUUACCUGUUCUAUCUAACUACGGCUGCUUCACGCUGUGUCUAAUUUGUUUGCUUCGCUUUGCUCAGCUGCGCAUCUCAUUCCAUACAUUUGGUCUUUGGAACUGCGUUCUUCCAUCUGCUUUCAUGCGGCUGUAUUUACAGCGGAUUGAUAUUGACGUUAAUAUAACGUUGUUGGGUGACGACUGCGUAUUGCUGCAUCAACUGAGAACUUGCAGGAUCAGCUGGUCCGCCGUCUGGACUCGGGGUAUGGCGUUUAUUUCCCACCAGUACUGAGUGGGGUGGCCACCGGCAGCAGUGUAGCCUCUUGUGGUGGUGGGCCCUUACCUAUUUGCAGUGAUCACAGUGAAGUGUGCUGUGCCGUGGUGUGUGUGCACGUGUGAGUGCUAUCUCCUCUGCUCAAAGGACGCCAGGCCUUCCCCCUCCUUGAACACUGAUGCUGUCCAGACGCGGAGAAACUCUGCCUUUGUUCAUAACCCCUCCUCUAGCCCCAGCUGGCCCGCUUUGGCCCAAGGUUUUCGUCGGGCCAAUAAACCCUGGCUGUUGGCCCCGAGGAAGCCCCGAUGAGGCACGAUCAAGCCCCGGAAGUAACAGUGGAAACGCGACUGGCCCUGGCACGCACUAGCACGCCCGGUUUAAGCUCGACAGUGGAAACGCAGCUAAUGGCACAAUUUAACUCCAUGUGGCUCAGCUUACCCCUCACAUUGGGUAAGUUGAGCCAAGAGACCACAUUUCUAUUUAUUUACUUACUUACUUCCUUACUCACUUACUUAUUGGAAAGCCAUAUUUUGAAAGUUUAUUUUAUAUCCAAACUGACUGUUCCCAAGUAUCCACCACAUCCUAAAAUGUAUGUACAUAUUAAGUUGGACACAUUACUGUUAUGUUCUCACUGUUGUGUGUCCUAAAAGCCAUUUCUGUUGUCUCAGUUCUCUAGAGCUGUAAUUUGCAAGGCAAGAAAUGUGAGAAACUUGUGAGUUUGCAUCUCGGAAUUCUGAAUUUAUAUCUUGCGAUUCUGACUCAUUUUCUGUGAAUUCUGAGUUUACAUGUUGCAAUUCAGUUUAAUUUUUCUGCUAUGGAAUAAAAGAAGUAAUUUGUGACUUUUUUUUUUGCAAUUGAGUGUUUAUAUCUCACAGUUUGGCAUUUGUAUUGUAAUUCUCAGAAUUGCAAGAAAAAAGACUUUUCUUUUUUUUCUGCAGCCGAAGAUUGUUUUUAAAAAUGUCUCUAAAAUUUCAGUCCAAUUUUAACAUUAAGUAGCAUGGAUUGCGUGAAUCAGUCAAAAAUAAUGCACUAUACACUAUAUGCACUUAUACUGUACACUAUGUACUUAACUGUGUAGUAAAUUAAUUUUAUAAGGUUAUUCUGUCAUUUAGCUGUCAUUAGCCUUCGAGUAUGUAAUUAAAGGUCUAAUAGUUCAGUGCAUGAAGCAUCCAACAUUACACGUUUUGUUUUCUCAGUUAAUUAAGUGCAUCAUCUGGGUAUUUAAACUCCACUUUUUCUUUUUUUUAAUUUUCAGUGUAAACACACUACUUGUACUUUUUUCUUCUGCAAAAUGACAUAAUAUAGUGCAUAAGUAUGCAAAUUGGGAUGCACCUAAUGUACUUAUGUGAUUUAGCAAAUGUUUAUGAUGGCAUCUUUGAGAAAUACAGUUUUUAACUGUUAUUAAUAAAACUUAUACCAGUUGAAAUGUCGAUUACAAACAAAUUAUGUGUUUUUAUUACAACCAGACCAAAGCUAAAUAAAGCUAAAGGAUCCAGAUAAUCAUUCAAAGAAUAUUUAGCAAAAUGAAGGAGUUUUAGGUAAAAUAUGCUUAAGUUAAGAUAAUACUAAUUAUAACA